rnacentral:rRNA from 1 species
AUUCCUUCGCUGACUGGCGCCUGAUGGCAGGGUCCCUUAAAGAGAAAACUACCCCAAUAGUGGAAUCUUGUCUCCGUAAAUGCUACAAAUCAGUCCAAUAGCGUAUAUUAAAGUUGUUGCAGUUAAAAAGCUCGUAGUUGAAACUUGGGUCUGGCUGGCGGGUCCGCCUCACCGCGUGCACUCGUCCGGCCGGGCCUUCCUUCUGAAGAACCUCAUGCCCUUUACUGGGCGUGUUGGGGAAUCAGGACUUUUACUUUGAAAAAAUUAGAGUGUUCAAAGCAGGCCUUUGCUCGAAUACGUUAGCAUGGAAUAAUAAAAUAGGGCGUGCGUUUCUAUUUUGUUGGUUUCUAGAGACGCCGCAAUGAUUAACAGGAACAGUCGGGGGCAUCAGUAUUCAGUUGUCAGAGGUGAAAUUCUUGGAUUUACUGAAGACUAACUACUGCGAAAGCAUUUGCCAAGGAUGUUUUCAUUAAUCAGUGAACGAAAGUUAGGGGAUCGAAGACGAUCAGAUACCGUCGUAGUCUUAACCGUAAACUAUGCCGACUAGGGAUCGGGCGAUGUUCUUUUUCUGACUCGCUCGGCACCUUACGAGAAAUCAAAGUUUUUGGGUUCUGGGGGAUUAUGGUCGCAAGGCUGAAACUUAAAGAAAUUGACGGAAGGUCACCACCAGGCGUGGAGCCUGCGGCUUAAUUUGACUCAACACGGGGAAACUCACCAGGUUCAGAUGAAAUAAGGAUUGACAGAUUGAGAGCUCUUUCUUGAUUUUUCAGGUGGUGGUGCAUGGCCGUUCUUAGUUCGUGGGGUGACUUGUCUGCUUAAUUGCGAUAACGAGCGAGACCUUACUCUGCUAAAUAGCCAGGCUAGCUUUGGCUGGUCGCCGGCUUCUUAGAGAGACUAUCAACUCAAGUUGAUGGAAGUUUGAGGCAAUAACAGGUUAACCUACACAGGCCUGUAACAGUGGGCCUCGUUAAAGAUAACUGCUAGUCUAGCGUCUUAACCUUCUUUGGGGAAGUCCCCUACUGUCGGGAGAAGGCAAGUUUUACUUGUGACGUAGGCAACACCACCUGGUACAGGGAACGCCGGAUCUGCUAUUGCGUGUGCAGAUUGGCCGAUCCUGUGGCGAGCCAAGGUAACGCUUGGCCGUCGCAACGCGCGGAAAGGGGUGGGCUGACUGGAAACAGUUGGCUUAAGGUACGUGCUAAUCCC